rnacentral:tRNA from 1 species
GCGCCUGUAGCUCAGAUCAGUCAGAGCGCUGCCGUGAAAACGCGGAGGUCGGGGGUGCGAAACCCUCCGGGCGCGCCA